CCUCCUCCUGCUAUUGGCGCCGUGUUAGGGAGCCGGAAGGAGGCUGAGAGGUUCUGAAAAUGAAACCAGAAUGCUGUCCAGGCUGACGCGGGCACCUGGUGAGCAGAGGGACCGUCCAUGAAUCUGCACCCCACAUGAGACGCACGUGCAAACUGGAACUAAUGCCUGCUCACAGCCUAAUUACACUCGCGGCGUCAGCGUUCUGGGCAGGCCGUUCACACUGAAACUCGGUCGGCACUGGCGCUGGGGCGGAUCCUGGCCAUCGACCACUCCAUUCUACAGCGGCUCCUUCAGUGAGUCGCAAAAACACUUGCUGAUUCUGGGCCUCAAUUUCCCCUUGUGCAAGGCGAGGCCAGUGCCUUAGCCUCACAGAAAAUAAAAAGUGUCCCAGAAGCAGAGGGAAGUGUGGUUUAAAACCCAUCAAAACCACAGCGAGGGCCUGAGAUCCUGACUCCCGACGGCACCACAGCCUCACAGUUCUGGCUGUGAGUCACAGACCUUAUUCCAGAAGGAGCCCUAGGAUGGCAGCAGGAUGCAGUGGUUAGCAUUGGGAUUCACGCUGCCCCGUGGCCUGGCCGAGACGCACCCACGAGGAUCCCUCGCCCGUGGCCGCCCUCCUCACCCAGCACUCCAGGCAA
rnacentral:lncRNA from 1 species